rnacentral:rRNA from 1 species
GGUGAACGCUGGCGGCGUGCCUAAUACAUGCAAGUCGAGCGCCCCUUUCAUAGUACUUAAAUUAUUUAAGUCCUGUGAUGGGGAGCGGCGGACGGGUGAGUAACACGUUAAUACAUACCCCAAACUGAGGGAUAAGCCAAAGAAAUUUGGUCUAAUACCGCAUAAUAUCUUCGGAUUAAAGCUUCGGCGGUUUGGGAAUGGUUUGCGUCUGAUUAGCUAGUUGGUAAGGUAAAAGCUUACCAAGGCAAUGAUCAGUAGCUGGUCUGAGAGGAUGAUCAGCCACACUGGAACUGAGACACGGUCCAGACUUCUACGGAAGGCAGCAGUAGGGAAUUUUCCACAAUGGACGAAAGUCUGAUGGAGCAACGCCGCGUGCAGGAUGAAGGCUUUCGAGUUGUAAACUGCUUUUAUAGAUGAAGAUUUUGACGGUAGUCUAUGAAUAAGGAUCGGCUAACUCCG